GCGAGCGUGGCGGAACUGGUAGACGCACUGGAUUUAGGUUCCAGCGGUUCACACCGUGUCGGUUCGAGUCCGACCGUUCGCACCA
rnacentral:tRNA from 8 species